rnacentral:misc_RNA from 1 species
UCUUCUCCAUUCUCUAAGGGCAAAUCCCUCCUCAGUCCCCAUCUCCGAUAGAGGCGGCAAAAUCGGACCGUCCAAUCCCCCAAACCCCCCUUUUUUUUUUUUUAUCAGGCCACCAAACUCUCUAUUGAACCCCUUCCCAUUCUCCUCCGGCUCGAACUCUCCGCUGGGUCCGUUGAAGGGCUGAUGCGAAUCGAAAACUUCAUCUCCGCCAGAGAAAGAGUCGAAUUGCUGUGAGUUGUAGUCGACCUAGCCACCGUUGUCUUCGUCUAAGGGGCGAGUUGACUCAGACCGAGGGACUGAGUCGUCGAACGAAUCGCCAAGAGUAUCCAUUGUUUCUGUGCCUUUUUUGUACGGACAAUCAUAAAAGCGAUGUGUUU